UAGCACAGGAACAGAGUGGGAGGGAAAGAGAGAGAAAGAGAGCCAGGAACAACACGUCACAUUAGAAAGGACACAACAGAAGUGCUCCAGGAUGCUAGGGACAGCGUUGAGCUUUUGUUACCUAGUGGCUACACAAGCCAGGAAGUACCAACGACCGGAUUUGAUGUGUGGUAGUAACAGGUUUCCGGUUUCCUUCUGUGCAGGAUAACUUGAGGCGUUUCUGGGAGAGGUUUGUGAGAGAGGAUCUGUUGAAGGUAAAUCCUCCACAUUGUACUUUUCAGCAAAUUAUUGUUCCCAUUCAUGUUGUUGAUACUCUACAGUAAUAGGGUGUGACAUAAAACUGUUGCUUCAAAUAUAUACAGUAUCUCUAUGUGAAGAAAUUCAUGCAACAAACUCAUUUCGGUCAAUCUUAAUGGCGCACACAUG
ensembl:lncRNA